rnacentral:rRNA from 1 species
CAAUAGCGUAUAUUAAAGUUGUUGCAGUUAAAAAGCUCGUAGUUGGAUUUGUGGUUCGUCCCGCCGGCUGGGUCAUUGACUUUUGCUGUGCUGGUCGUCCAUCCUUGGGUGGAAUCUGUGUGACAUUAGGUUGUCGCGCAGGGGAUGCCCAUCGUUUACUGUGAAAAAAUUAGAGUGUUCAAAGCAGGCUUAUGCCGUUGAAUAUAUUAGCAUGGAAUAAUGAUAUAGGACCUUGGUACUAUUUUGUUGGUUUGCGCACUGAGGUAAUGAUUAAUAGGGACAGUUGGGGGUAUUCGUAUUCCAUUGUAAGAGGUGAAAUUCUUGGAUUUUUGGAAGACGAACUACUGCGAAAGCAUUUACCAAGGAUGUUUUCAUUAA